CCAAGCUUUAAAAAAAUCAAUAUUUCUUUUCAAUAAUGAAUCUUCAACAAAACUUUCCACCACCCACAUUACACUUCUGUUUCACAUUUUAAUCUGAAAACUAAGCAAUAACAGUAAUCAACACUUUCAGAUGUCUUAAAAUGUGCCAAAGACAAAUUUCAACAGAGAGGGCCCCUACAAUGUAUCUGGUUAGUGUUUCUCAAACUCUCAAGUUCAUCAGAAACAGAAAAGCCUGAGAAACUGUCGCAGCCAAGGGAGACUAUGGAGAUAACACAAUUAAAUGCAAUAAGUAUCCUGGAUAGGAUCUUGGAACAGAAAAGGACAUUAGGCAACAACUGAGGAGUUCUGAAUGAAUUUUGGCCUUAGGUAAUAAUGAUGAUGCAAACAAUAUUGGUCAUUAAUUAUCACAAAAAUUCUAUAUUUUUAUUUGUUCUAAUUAAUUAUACAUGGCAGUAGAAUGCACUUUGACACAUCAUACAUAAAUGGAAUAUAAUUGCUCAUUCUCUGUACAUUAUGUAGAAUCACAAUAUACAUAAGGUAAUAAUGUCUGAUUCAUUCUACUAUCCUUCCUGUCUCUAUACUCCUCUCCCCUCUUUUUACUCCUCUCUACCUAACCCAAAAUAACUCUAUGCUUCCCUAGCCCCUGCCCUUACUGUGAAUUAGCAUCUGCAUAUCAGAGAGAACAUUCAGCCUUUGGCUUUUGGGGAUUGGCUUAUUUUGUUUAACAUGAUAUUCUCCAGCUCCAUCCAUUUAUUGGCAAAUGCCAUAAUUUUAUUCUUCUUUAAAACUGACUAAUAUUCCAUUGUGUAUAUGUACCACGUUUUCUUUAACAAUCCAUCUGUUGAAGGGCACCAGGUUUGGUUCCAUAAUUUAGCUAUUGUGAGUUGAGCUGAUAUA
rnacentral:lncRNA from 1 species